CCUACGGGACGCACCAGUGGGGAAUAUUGCACAAUGGGCGCAAGCCUGAUGCAGCCAUGCCGCGUGUAUGAAGAAGGCCUUCGGGUUGUAAAGUACUUUCAGCGAGGAGGAAGGCAUUAAGGUUAAUAACCUUGGUGAUUGACGUUACUCGCAGAAGAAGCACCGGCUAACUCCGUGCCAGCAGCCGCGGUAAUACGGAGGGUGCAAGCGUUAAUCGGAAUUACUGGGCGUAAAGCGCACGCAGGCGGUCUGUCAAGUCGGAUGUGGAAUCCCCGGGCUCAACCUGGGAACUGCAUUCGAAACUGGCAGGCUAGGGUCUUGUAGAAGGGGGUAGAAUUCCAGGUGUAGCGGUGAAAUGCGUAGAGAUCUGGAGGAAUACCGGUGGCGAAGGCGGCCCCCUGGACAAAGACUGACGCUCAGGUGCGAAAGCGUGGGGAGCAAACAGGAUUAGAUACCCUCGUAGUC
rnacentral:rRNA from 1 species